rnacentral:rRNA from 1 species
CUCAAAACAGCUUAUUGAGCCAACCCGUCUCUGUCGCAAAAGAGUGGGAUGAUUUUUAGGUAGAGGUGAAAAGCCUACCGAGCUUAGAGAUAGCUGGUUAUUCAAGAAAAGAAUUUUAGUUCAACCCUAAGCCACCCCCCUUCCUCUAAUAAAUUCACCAGGCCUAGGAGCUAGUCAAAUAGGGCACAGCUUAUUUGACAAAGGAGACAACCUAUAAAAAAGGGUAAAACCCCCUCCCCCAAGCAAGUGGGCCCGAAAGCAGCCAUCUUUGAGAAAGCGUUAAAGCUCUAUUUCUACCGAGUCUUAAUACCUAACUAUACAUAAAACCCUUUAACCCUACUGAAUGAUUCUAUAAAAUAUAGAAACCCCAAUGCUAAAACUAGUAACAAGAAGUUGAACUUCUCCAAAAUACAAGCAUAAAUCAAAAUGGACAAGCCAUUGAUAGUUAACACCGCUGACUUAAAUAUAGCAACUAAACAAGAAAACACUAUAAAGCCUAAUGUUAGCCUAACACAAGAGUAUUUCUGGAAAGAUUAAAAAAAAGAGAAGGAACUCGGCAAACUUUAACCCCGCCUGUUUACCAAAAACACCGCCUCUUGAAUCUCAUAAGAGGUCCAGCCUGCCCAGUGACACAAUUAAACGGCCGCGGUACCCUGACCGUGCGAAGGUAGCAUAAUCACUUGUUCUCUAAAUAAGGACUUGUAUCAACGGCAUCACGAGGGUUAUACUGUCUCCUCUUUUUAAUCAGUGAAACUGACUUUCCCGUGAAGAGGCGGGGAUAGUAAUACAAGACGAGAAGACCCCAUGGAGCUUUAAACCCAGUAGUAACCUCUAUUUACUACUACUACUUAAUUAAGAAGGUCUGUCUACUGGUUUUAGGUUGGGGUGACCCUGGAGUAAAACUUAGCCUCCAUGACGAAUAGAACUUAUUCUAAUCCCAGAGCUACCGCUCUACGAAUCAAAAUUUUGACGUAAACUGAUCCGCCUAGCGAUCAACGAACCAAGUUACCCUGGGGAUAACAGCGCAAUCCAUUUCAAGAGCCCCUAUCGACAAAUGGGUUUACGACCUCGAUGUUGGAUCAGGGUAUCCCAGUGGUGCAGCCGCUACUAAAGGUUUGUUUGUUCAACAAUUAAAACCCU